UAAGGAAUAUUGGACAAUGCCCGCAAGGGUGAUCCAGCAAUGCCGCGUGCAGGAUGAAGGCCUUCGGGUUGCAAACUGCUUUUGUACGGAACGAAAAGGUCUGCCCUAAUACGGUGGGCUCAUGACGUUACCGUAAGAAUAAGCACCGGCUAACUACGUGCCAGCAGCCGCGGUAAUACGUAGGGUGCGAGCGUUAAUCUGAAUUACUGGGCGUAACGCGUGCCCAGGCGGUUAUAUAAGACAGAUGUGAAAUCCCCGGGCUCAACCUGGGACCUGCAUUUGUGAAUGUAUAGCCAGAGUACGGUAGAGGGGGAUGGAAUUCCGAGUGUAGCAGUGAAAUGCGUAGAUAUGCGGAGGAACACCGAUGGCGAAGGCAGCCUCCUGGGCCAGUACUGACGCUCAUGCACGAAAGCGUGGGGAGCAAACA
rnacentral:rRNA from 1 species